CAUACGUAAUACAGUUUCAUAACAACAGCUGUUGAAAAUACUUGAACAGGCAAGGCGCUUCCGGAACAACAUCAAGAACAUUCACACACAGACGCGGGGUUUUCUUGGUGUCGAAACAUUUGAUAAAGGCAAUUUUCUUAUAGUUGUUCAGACACGGUAGAAACGGUGCAUUCUGUAGGCCUACACCAUGGUAUGACUUCUGAUCAAAGCCAGCGUCUAUGUGGUGCGCAAAAUCAGCGCUGCCCUUAAAGAUGGUGAGCAGACAGAUCAACCUGUGCUUACACCAUGUGACCUGGCUAAAAGAAAAAAGGAGGGCUUUGCAACAGACGCAUUAAUGUCAGCUCCAGAGCCUGAGGAUGCUUUUGCGUCACCUGCACCUACAGAGACAGCAGUACAGAAAUGUGGUUCCUGAGGUUAAAGGUCACGCGGAAGCAGAACUGGCCUCAAUGGGGGCUGUUUUGCUGUCUCAGAAGGCAGAUUGUGGCGUAAAGAUCUGGCAUCAGACCAGUUUUGCUCUGCGUGACCUUUUUAUUGGUGCAAAUUCUCACACUUUCUCUCUACCUCUCUCUCAUUCUUUUCUCCUCUUUUUGUGUCCCAUCAGCUGUAGUAUGUGAAGGUCUGUUCAUCAACUUCUGCCUCAGGAGCAGUUCAGAUCUGAUGUUUACCUACAGCUUUUAUACUUAUCAAAUCUUUUGCUAACCUCUUGUCAUGUUUGCCAUGACAAAAGCAGCCAAUAAAAUUGUGAAACUUCAA